GCACGCCACCACAAAUGGCUCCUCUGCCACCUAACCAAUGGCAGCACUCCACUUCGUUCCCCCAAGUGCUACAAUCUAUUGGCAGCACUGAGACCCUGGCUAGCUGCCACAGAGACUUAGUCCGGGCAGCCCCUCUCUCCCAGUGAGCUUUCCUAGGUCCCCACCAUGGCUCAGGCACAGCGACCAAGUAUCUGCUUUUCCGGGGCAGAGUGGGUGUGGUGAGAUGACAGCCCCGGUGGGGGGUGCCUUGCUCUUUAUUUAUGGCUCUGUGACACUUUUAAAGUGCUGAAUGUUCCUAAAGGCUGGUAAAUUCUUUCCCCAAUCCUACAGAGACAGGGACGUGGGGGCAGGAAGACAGGUGGGGGCAGGAAUUGGAAUCUACAUGGACCAUAAUUGCCUCAAGUUUGUGAACUGUUAGUUUAAAAAUACUCUUGGAGACUUUAAUGGCUGAAUGAAAAUUCACACUCAUUAAACACCAUGGUCGAAGGGGGGGAUAUUCAGCCUGUGUUAUAUGAAUAACUUCACAGCUUGAAGUUCAGAAGAGAAAAUGGCAGUACACACAGCAGAAGGGUGUGGGAAGAGACUAGUCUGCUGAAUAAAAACACGGGAAGAAGCUGAGGUUCAGAGAGGGUGAAUACUUUGUCCAAGGUCAAAUGGCUGCUAAGAGGCAAGCUGCAGGUCGGAACCCUGGGAAGCUUGACUCAGAAGCUCCUACCCACUCUAUCCAUCAUUCUGCUUAAUGGGCAGUGAACCUAGAAUUAUCCAAACUAAAGUCCCCUGAACUAACCAAAGUAUGUCAAGCAGAUCAAUACUUGGAUUUUUAAAGCCUGACUGCUUGAUUCCUUUAAGGCACUAACUUGCAAAUCCAUGUUAAAGAUUCUGUAUCUCAAUGUUGCCAGAGGCUCUUGGAACCAU